GAAAUGCGAUAAGUAGUGUGAAUUGCAGAAUUCAGUGAAUCAUCGAAUCUUUGAACGCACAUUGCGCCCUUGGUAUUCCAUGGGGCAUGCCUGUUCGAGCGUCAUUUGUACCCUCAAGCUCUGCUUGGUGUUGGGUGUUUGUCCCGUCUCCGCGCGUGGACUCGCCCCAAAGUGAUUGGCAGCCGGCGUACUGGUCCCGGAGCGCAGCACAUGUCGCGCAAACGAGUGCCUUGGUACGGCGGCGUCCAUAAGCCCCUCUCUCACGCUCUUGACCUCGGAUCAGGUAGGGAUACCCGCUGAACUUAAGC
rnacentral:misc_RNA from 1 species